CAGGACGAACGCUGGCGGCGUGCCUAAUACAUGCAAGUCGAACGGUCUUUCUAUGGAAGCUUGCUUCCACUGAGAAGAUAGUGGCGAACGGGUGAGUAACACGUGGGUAACCUGCCCAUAAGAGGGGGAUAACAUCCGGAAACGGGUGCUAAUACCGCAUAGUUUUCUUGAUCGCAUGAUUGAGAAAGGAAAGACGGCCUUUGUGCUGUCGCUUAUGGAUGGACCCGCGGCGUAUUAGUUAGUUGGUGAGGUAACGGCUCACCAAGACGAUGAUACGUAGCCGACCUGAGAGGGUGAUCGGCCACAUUGGGACUGAGACACGGCCCAAACUCCUACGGGAGGCAGCAGUAGGGAAUCUUCCGCAAUGGACGAAAGUCUGACGGAGCAACGCCGCGUGAGUGAAGAAAAGGUUUUCGGAUCGUAAAACUCUGUUGUCAGAGAAGAACAAGUUGGAGAGUAACUGCUCCAGCCUUGACGGUAUCUGACCAGAAAGCCACGGCUAACUACGUGCCAGCAGCGGC
rnacentral:rRNA from 1 species